rnacentral:rRNA from 1 species
UACGGGGGGGGCAAGCGUUGUUCGGAAUUACUGGGCGUAAAGGGCUCGUAGGCGGCCAACUAAGUCAUACGUGAAAUCCCUCGGCUUAACCGGGGAACUGCGUCUGAUACUGGAUGGCUUGAGAUUGGGAGAGGGAUGCGGAAUUCCAGGUGUAGCGGUGAAAUGCGUAGAUAUCAGGAGGAACACCUGUGGCGAAAGCGGCUCACUGGACCAUAACUGACGCUGAUGCACGAAAGCUAGGGGAGCAAACAGG